UCCGAGUUAACCCCGGCAGUCCCCCACGAGUCCCCAGCACCGCACAAGUGCGGCCUGCCGGCAACAUGGGGUAAGGGUUGCGCUCGUUGCGGGACUUAACCCAACAUCUCACGACACGAGCUGACGACAGCCAUGCACCACCUGCACAAACCCCUAAAAGGACACCGUAUCUCUACGGCCAUGGUUUGCAUGUCAAACCCAGGUAAGGUUCUUCGCGUCUCUUCGAAUUAAGCAACAUGCUCCGCCGCUUGUGCGGGCCCCCGUCAAUUCCUUUGAGUUUCAGCCUUGCGGCCGUACUCCCCAGGCGGGGCACUUACUGCGUUAGCGACGGCACCGGGAGGGUCGCUCCCCCCGACGCCUAGUGCCCAUCGUUUACGGCGUGGACUAC
rnacentral:misc_RNA from 1 species